rnacentral:rRNA from 1 species
UACGUAGGGUGCGAGCGUUAAUCGGAAUUACUGGGCGUAAAGCGUGCGCAGGCGGUUCGUUAAGUUCGUUGUGAAAGCCCCGGGCUCAACCUGGGAACGGCAAUGGAAACUGGCGGGCUUGAAUGCGGCAGAGGGGGGUGGAAUUCCGCGGUGUAGCAGUGAAAUGCGUAGAGAUGCGGAGGAACACCGAUGGCGAAGGCAGCCCCCUGGGCCGGUACUGACGCUGAGGAGCGAAAGCGUGGGGAGCGAACAGG